AUUGAACGCUGGCGGCAUGCCUUACACAUGCAAGUCGAACGGCAGCACGGGAGCAAUCCUGGUGGCGAGUGGCGAACGGGUGAGUAAAGUAUCGGAACGUGCCCAGUCGUGGGGGAUAACGUAGCGAAAGUUACGCUAUUACCGCAUACGAUCUAUGGAUGAAAGCGGGGGAUCGCAAGACCUCGCGCGAUUGGAGCGGCCGAUAUCAGAUUAGGUAGUUGGUGGGGUAAAGGCUCACCAAGCCGACGAUCUGUAGCUGGUCUGAGAGGACGACCGGCCACACUGGGACUGAGACACGGCCCAGACUCCUACGGGAGGCAGCAGUGGGGAAUUUUGGACAAUGGGCGAAAGCCUGAUCCAGCCAUGCCGGGUGCAGGAUGAAGGCCUUCGGGUUGUAAACUGCUUUUGUACGGAACGAAAGGGUUUGGCCUAAUAAGCUGAGCUCAUGACGGUACCGUAAGAAUAAGCACCGGCUAACUACGUGCCAGCCGCCGCCGUAA
rnacentral:rRNA from 1 species